GACGAACGCUGGCGGCGUGCUUAACACAUGCAAGUCGAACGGACAGGCCCUGCUCUUGUGGGGUGCUCGAGUGGCGAACGGGUGAGUAACACGUGAGUAACCUGCCCUUGACUUUGGGAUAACUUCUGGAAACUGGGGCUAAUACCGGAUAGGAGCUCCUGCUGCAUGGUGGGGGUUGGAAAGUUUCGGCGGUUGGGGAUGGACUCGCGGCUUAUCCGCUUGUUGGUGGAGUAGUGGCUUACCAAGGCUUUGACGGGUAGCCGGCCUGAGAGGGUGACCGGCGACAAGGGGACUGAGAUACGGCCCAGACGCCUACGGGAGGCAGCAGUGGGGAAUAUUGCACAGUGGGCGGAAGCCUGAUGCAGCAACGCCGCGUGCGGGAUGACGGCCUUCGGGUGGUAAACCGCUGUCGCCGGUGACGAAGCGGGAGUGACGGUAAUGGGUAAAGAAGCACCGGCUAACUACGUG
rnacentral:rRNA from 1 species